GACGAACCGUGCAAGCGUUGUUCGGAUUCAUUGGGCGUAAAGGGUGCGUAGGCGGCGCGGUAAGUCGGGUGUGAAAUCUCGGAGCUUAACUCCGAAACUGCAUUCGAUACUGCCGUGCUUGAGGACUGGAGAGGAGACUGGAAUUUACGGUGUAGCGGUGAAAUGCGUAGAUAUCGUAAGGAAGACCAGUGGCGAAGGCGGGUCUCUGGACAGUUCCUGACGCUGAGGCACGAAGGUCAGGGGAGCAAACGGG
rnacentral:rRNA from 1 species